CUGUUCACUGUAUUGUUGACAGGUAUGCAGACUGCUGACUGUUACUGAAAGCUGACAAAAUAACUGGACUUCUACUGGAAAGAAGUAAUUAAUUCUUUCCCCAAGCAGAGAUUGUUGUUAACUAUUCCAGAACGGUAACUGUUAAAAGCAUCCACUCUCAGAGAUACUCUAAUGAAGACAGAAGGUUUAUAUAGGCUUGGCUAGUCCCCAUGGUAACAGCCUUUCUACUGGGUUACCAUAGGAAUCGUCAAAGCCUUUGUAAGCUGCCCUUAAUAGAGCAUACACGCUUUCCAGGCAGACUGGAAUAUCUGUUAGAGGAUACACCUCCUGUUGUUAAAUAUAAAUAUAAACAGAUUUUGUUUUGGAGUGGUACUCAUCUCUGUUUAAAUAGCUGUGCUACUCUUUACGUUAGAGUUAUAUUAAACAUUGGAGUCACCUGUGAUACAGGAAAACAUGUGAUAACUGAAUGGUUUUACGAACAAGACAACCCAUAUACGUUUGUACCUAGACUGCAGGGAACUGCAGGCAAAAAUACCGUUCUAUACAGUAGCCCAAACCUCACAGUACAUUGCCCUUUCACCUUCCUGUGGACGUUGCAGAGCUGUAGUCAGUCUGAAGCUUUGCUGGACAGAAGUUAUACAACAGGAAACAAACAAGCAAGAAACGGAGCCAAAGGAAACAAACAGAAACCUCAGCUGAAUGAAACAAGCAGAAAGCAAGCCAGUGACUGACUUCAGCACUCCAGAAGUUCCUGCUCCUGAUAGCAAUUGCACGAGUAUCAGCACCAGUAGCAGCUAGAGCAACAGGCAGAGUUAUCAUUCCAUGUCAUCACUCGAGUAAAUCAAGAAGCCCUCCUCAAACAUACCGAAGGCUGUUGUUUCUUGUCAGUUGCAUGGCAUGCAGGUAAUCAGAUAUUUUAGUUGCAUCAAAGGUGAAGUUGCCAGUGACAUAUCCCAUGCUGACCACCACUGUACCAAAAAGCAAAUUCACCAGGGGCUUCAAAACAUGCGGAUUCCAGAAAAAUGUAAUGGCAAGAUUAUCUUUAGCCCAAAGAACCCAUCAGUAGUCUGCAAAAGUCUUACCAAGGGGGAAAAAAGAAUAAAAAAAGCUUCAAGAAAAAUAGAGAAACCUUCUUUGGAAACAGCCUCACCAAAAUGGAAAGAAAAUGCAAUGGUUUAGACUGCUACUCUAAUCAUGCAGUUCUGUGUGAGGUAAAGAGCUUAGGAUUUAAAAUCGAGAGGCUAUUUCUUGAGGGCUUCUAAGGUUUGUCACUGAGGGGGACCAUGGAAGGGCUGUCUAUAGGUAGGCAAUGCUUCUCUACAACCCCUGACACUAUUCAGGAAGCGAAGUAAUGAUGUAGUGAAGGCAACUUCAAAACUGGUUUUUAAACAGAUGGUUGCAAAGGGUCUGUGUUGCCCCUCUUUUAGGUUUUGUACAAUUUAAAACAUAUAGAGCGAACUUAGAACAUGUAAUUGAAAAAAUAUGAAUAAGGAAACUUUUUGGAACUUUGGAAGAGCACUUCUACUGAGGGCUUUUGUUGCUGGGAAUGGAGCUGGAGAAACAGCACUCCAAUAAUGCAAUAGUGAGCAGUAAGACUUGGUUGGCAUUUGGCCUUCUGCUGGGACAUGAAGCAGCAGGACUUCUGCACGACAGCUGGCAGGAUAAGACUAGCACAAUGCCUACUGAAAUAAAUGAAAUCCAUCUCAUGAAACUGAAGAGAGGUGGUGGAUGGAGAUCUAUUGUGCUGCACCUGAAAUAUCUGGGAGGUGAAUCCUUUCUCUUUUGUCUUGUUUCACCUGUAAUGCUCUUGGUGCAGAUGCUUUCAUAACAGGUGGUUAAAAUGUCAUUGAAAGUCUUGUUACCAAAUUAAUUCCUUUGGAAGGAGAAGGAAUUCCUUUGUUGCCUUCCUCCACUCUCCAGAACAGAUUUUGUAAAAUUCUGGAUAUUUUGUUAUUCAUGUUAUCCAUUAAACUUACAGGAUCAGUGGAUAACUUACUCUCUUUUUCUUUCCUGUCACUGGGUAAUUUUCAUACUUUACAUUUAAAUCACAGUGAGGUCUUGAAGCUGUGGUAAAUAAAUGAAUAGCUAGCUAUAAUUCUUGGGUUAGUUUCAAAUUUUUGACAGGUAAAGAGGGUUGGAAUAUCGGUAUUACCAAACACUGGUAAGAAUAACUCUUUCACACUAUUAGGGUAAGAAAGC